AUGAAAGUCCUCUCUCUGUCUCUUGUCACAGACCAACCACCGUUUCUUUUGCAGCUCUUUCUCCUCCACAUCUUCCUUCUCCGCCUCCUCCCAUACUUCCUCCUCUGCCUCCACCUAUACUUCCAUUGCUGACGCCUUGUCUCUCCUCUUACUCAUCUUCCUCCUCUGCCUUUUCCCAGCAUUGAACAUCUACUUUCAUUUACGCAUGUUAAGAGUGAAAUUAUAGGGUUUCUUUCUGUAAAUUGGCUCAAAUCCAGUGGCUAUAAGUGAUAUGGGCUGCGCCAUGCGAAUUUCGUAGAUAAACAAGGCUGACCAUAGCCAGUACCAAGUUCACAAGGAUACGGCUCAAUCAGUUUGGUAACCUCUGCCGCGCCUCCAUUGCUGCUGUAAUCAUUUUUAUUCCUCUCAUCCUUAUUUUCUGGGCUCUCUCCUUCAGCUCUCCCGCUUUCCCCAAAUUUCAGACACAUUUAGGGCUUGUGAAAGCACUUGGAACUCUGUGCAGAAAGUGCAGAGAGCAUUAUUGCAGUCGGAUGUCCAUGCAAAAUCUGAUAAAAGUCCUGUAACAGUAGCUGUGUAGCACUUGGUGUAUGAUAAAAUUAGCGACGAGGUAUGUUAUAAACGGUAAUGACUUUUACAAAUAAUCCCAAGAUUGAAUUUAUUACAGGGUAGUGGGGAGAGGUUUUCACCAAUUAAAUGAAGCAGAGUCUGGUCUACUUGAACAAGAACUUAAACUAACUGCUUGUAGAGUAACAUCUGUGCAGUGUCUUGUUCUUUAAAGGAGAUGAGAUUAUUGUAUACUUGUUGUAGCAAAUUAGUGACCCUGUCAAAUUUCUUGGAAGGCGCUGAAUAUUAGAUGAGAAUGAUAUUAAGAAGCAAGAGGAAAAGCUAGAGGCAGGUGCUUCAUUUCUUGUGAAAAUGGUCUGCAAGGAGGAGGAAAGUGGUGGUGCCUUGGUGUUUCAAUGUUGAAGCUGAUGGCUUGGUUCCUUUGUUUUGUGUUUUUGAAAUCCACAAUUGGUUGAAGUCUUGUCUUACCUUUGAAACUAGAAAGGACUAAUACAAUUCAAAAGGGCUACCUUUCUCUUUGGCUUGUUUUAGGCUUUUAGCGAGAAUACAUUUUUCUAUUUCUUUUAGCGAGAAUACAUUUAUUAAACUUUUAGUGAGAAUGCAUUCUUCUAAAGAAUCGUGAAUUUGUUUUGCAAUAUUUUCUAUUUAUAUUGUCAUUGUUGGUUGUGAUUUUGCCUGAA